AGCCUCACACUGACAGUGGUUUCAGCUGCAGUGGGUUCUUGGAAUCCCUGACUUCCCACUGGUGACAUCCAUUGCCAACGAUGCCAACAGCAAGCCCGCACCCUGCCUGUCCAUGUCUGGUACCUCCCAACAAACCCAGUGUGCAGUGACACAUGCUGAUGAGCAAAUGGAGAAAAAAGGCCCAGAGAGCAGGAAUGCCAACUUGUCCCUGGUGCAGCCAGCAGUGCCUGCCAGCUCCCUGCUCAGCGCAGGAAUGGCCAGAGGGCUGGGAUGGAUGUGCUGGUAAUGCAACACGUGGACUGUUUGUUUGGAGAACUCAAAUGAAAGCAGGCAGCGUGAUCAAGAUAAAGCUUUUAAUGAUGUUUGCCUUAUUAUAGUUAUGAAUGCUCUCUAUUGAUUCUCCUCCUCAUUUACCCAAAUUGCUAAGUUGUUUUCAACUUCUUCCUGCAAUUAACAUGAAUGAAGCUGA